AACCAAAGCAUUUAGAGCAAAUCUGACAUGGAGUAAAAGUGUUUAUCAGGUCAAAAUCUAUCUGCCCUGACAUUUUCAGAUGAAUCGGACAACCUGUUGUUGGGUUGCUGCCCCUAAAUUGGUAAUUUUAAGGAAAUUUUACUGUUUUGGGUUAUUAUCUUGAAUAUUAUUAUAGAUAGAGAUAAACUUUAAACAGAAAUAAUGUACAGCAAAGUAAGAUUUACAAAUACGUCAACAUGACUGAAAUGGUCAAUUGACCCCCUAAGGAGUUAUUGUCCUUUAUAGUCAAUUUUUAACAAUUUUUAUAAAAUUUGUAAAUUUUUACUAACAUUUUCCACUGAAACUACUGGGCCAAGUUCAUUAUAGAUAGAGAUAACUGUAAGCAGCAAGAAUGUUCAGUAAAGUAAGACGUACAAACACAUCACCAUGACCAAAAAACAAUUUUGUCAUGAAUCCAUCUGCUUCCUUUGUUUAAUAUUCACAUAGACCAAGGUGAGCGACACAGGCUCUUUAGAGCCUCUAGUUUUGGCAUU
rnacentral:lncRNA from 1 species